UCUUGUGGGAAACCACAUUAACUUUGACUCACCUGUGGCAGCUGCUCCUGAGCCAAAAUCAGCUCUGCUUUUAGACAGGGCGCCGCUCUCGACACAGUUACUUUUCAAGAUGGAGCCGGCUGACAUCAUUUCUCACAAUCGCAGAAAGGGAGGAAAACUCAUAAAUUACCACAACAAAGAAAGAAACUACAUUUCGUGGGAGUAUUCUGGCUAGACCCUGACUUUUCAUGGGGAAGGCCGCUGGGCUCCAGGGGACAGGAGAAAGGUUCCUUAUGAAAUAUUGAAGGAGACUGGAGAUGGGGCGAGAGCACGUCUGCCCUUCCUCCUCAGCUCUUCCACCAGCCAACAAUGUGCGUGCUCAGGAGGGGAACUCACAGUCCUGCCAGCUAAGUUCCAGCACACCAGGAAUCCAGCUGCAUGUCACAUCCAUCCAGCUCAUCAGCUGUACUGUUCAGAGGGAUUAUUCCUGCACAGCUCACGAUGUGACUACUUUCAACUGUUUCAAAAAUACAUCAGUUUCCCAAUUUCAUACUGCUAUUGAUAAGGUUUGGUCAUGUUUUGGGGAUUUGGGAAAAGUUGUGGUUUGAGUUAAAAUUAAUACUUUCAUGUGGUUACAACAAUAACCACUUGGUUACAGUUAGAGAGUGCUUGUGGUCAUGGUUAAAGGAAACUAGUGUUGACUGUUGGACUGCCGUGCCAAAAGUCAGUGGCUUAUUGAUCAGUCCAUCCACUCCAACCUCCUCCUUGUGUGGACUUAGUUGCUCUGUAAUACCGCAACUCUACUUCCUCCUUUGCCCAUGGACUAGAGUCCUGAGCACUAUGGCCACUAUAGGCCUUCAUCAUGUGAAUGUAAAAUAUGUUGUUUUGAGUAUUCCUUAGAUUUCUCAUUUUACUUGGGAGGUCAAGACUCUGACAUACAGAAUCUCUUAAACUUUAUAUAAAUAAAUAAAUGUAUUUCUUCUUUCAAUUAGUCACUCUGGACUGAAAUGUUUUAUUCAGUUAUUUAACAAUAGUUAUUGGGUUUGUUGAGCAAAGAUGAGUGUGUGUGUGUGUGUGUGUGUGUGUGUGUGUGUGUGUGUGUGUGUGUGUGCGUGCGUGCGUGCGUGUGUGUGUGUGUGAGUCUUGGACAUGAAGAGUGAGUCUGAGUGAGGUGGACAUUAUUAGGGUGGAAGGUCAGGAGCUCACAGCAGGAUCUCUCUGGGUUUACGGUCUGUGCUUUGAGGUGAGUAAGACACAUACGCACAUCCGCAGCGAGUCAGAGGCACCCUGUUAACAUCCACACUCUGUAAAAACUGUGAAAAUUUGUCUAAUUAACAGAUUCAGUUUAACGUCUUGGGUUUUGGCUGUGUGCAGCACAGUCUGUACCCUGGAAGGCUCAUAUCUGUAUUAGUCACCACACACACACAAACUGGCCAGUGAAACAACUUAUUUACUGCACGUCAUUUAACUUUCAGAAAGCAGGAUGUUUCGUUGAUUCAAACACUUCCUGUUGUGGUGUUUACUGAGGACGUCUCUUCAUGCAUUAUGUGAGUGGACGCCAUUUGAGGAGAGUGCUCUGUUCUUCCCGGCACACUUACUUCUUUGACAUCUCAGGAGAGAGCAAGAGAAGGUCUAUGGGUGUAGAUGAGUGGUUCAGGACCAUGGACAGAGGCUCAGACAAGUGCACAGUCUUAUAUUGGAUGUUCUGCUGCUGGAGCCUCCUUCUUCCUCUCAUCAUCAUCACUAAUGCAAUAACAAUUGGGCUUCUUGCAAAGAGGAUGAGGAGGAGGAGACACAAGCAAGCAAACAAAUCAGACUAAAAAAAAGUGACCCUGGGAGCUGAGCUGGCGGACACAUCAUCCCUUAUUAUCAGACUGCUGGAAAGCCCAGGGACCCCCAGACCCUCUGGAUUCUCCCUGCAGGGGACUCAGAUGAACAGGAAAGAAAAUAUAAAGACAGAGGUGGGAAAGAAAUCCUUCCUGUUUCCUGAAACUGUCUGCAAAAGAAAAGUAAACUGGCAACUGACAUCCCUGGCAGAAUUUUAUUAUAAACUCUAUGGAAAAUGACCCCACUCAUAGUUGUGUCUGUCGUUAGCCUACUUUUAGCCCUGUUUUACUGGUAUAAUCUGUUUUGGUGUCGCUGUAUCAGUUGGUUGUUGUUGUUUUUUAUGCUGUCAUCAUGGUCAGACCUCCCUUGUAAAAGAGGUAUCCAACCUCAUUGGGACUAAAUAAAGGUUAAGAAAGAAAAUA